CCUGUACACACUUAUUUCUUUCUUUCUCUCUUCAAUCAAGUUAUUAGACCAAUAGAUCAAUAACACAUUUUAGACUUCAUAAAUCUUUAUUCACUCAUUCCACAAACAGGGAGAGUGUUCCGACUAGAGAAUAGGCAGAAGCCAGAGCAAAUUGGAAAUGGAAGCACGUAAGCACAGCUGGCUGGAGCGGAACGUACAUGAAGGGGUUGGUGGGUGAGAAGUCUGGAAUUUAGAUGAGGCCACACCAUGUCAAAUCUUAUCUGCUGUGGUGAGUAGAUGGAUUGAAGGUAGUCUCACAGUCAUAGAAGCAAGUUGGAGAGCUACUACCUAAUGCUCUGUUGAACUGGGCACUUAACCUUUCUGAGCCUCAGUGUUCCCAUUUUAUUCAUUUAACAAACACGUGGUACCAAACUCUAUUCUAAGCACUGUAUAAAUAUUAACUCAUUGAUUUUGUCCACCAACCCUAUGAGGUACUUACUCCUGAGCAAGGAGUAUUAUCUCCAUUUGACAGAGUGGGGAGCUAUGCCCAGAGAGGUUAGGUAACAUGUCAAGGUCACAGAGGCCAGUAAGUAUUGGAGCUGGGAUUUGAACCCAGGCUCUCUAGUUCCAGAGUUCAUGCUCUUAACCACAUGUUGUAUUGCUUCUCUGAAACGGAGAAGAGUAAUUCCUUCCUCUAAAAGUUACUCAGAAGGUGAAGUGAAACAAUGUAUGUGAAGUUACAUUGUAUGUUGCACACUGUUUUGCCAAUACUGAUUCUCAUUAGUUAAUAAUAAUUUAACAACACUUUGGAAAUGGGUAAGAUUCUCAAGGACAUAGGGAGAAAGGAAUGGAUCAAGGACUGAGCCUCGGGAAAUGUUUUUGCUGAGUAGCAAGAGCUUGGUUUUGAAAAGACAUUUGACAGAGUCAUGGCUGACGCCCUUGUGGACAGGGUCAUGGUCAGUGAAGAGCCCCAGCCUCCAGACUUUCAGUCCCUGCUGAAGGAAGUUUUGGAGGUUGGUAAUGUUGAUAAUGUACAUACAGAGGGGACCAAAGCCAGGUCUCUCCCACUGACAAACCAAGAAUUCAGACAAGGACCAUAAGGCCACUAGGGUUCUGAUUCUAGCUUCUUUUCCACCUUCUGGUGCAUGUUCCCAAACAGACCAGGGCUUGGACCAGCUUUACAGGUGAAGUGAAAGGUUUCAAACCAGGAAGUUACUAGGUUUAUGGUGCCCUUGUGGGGACAAGAGCAAAGCACUGUACAUUGUAACAGACCCUGGACUGGCUGGGUGGGGACAUCCCUCUGGGGUUGCAGAGGCUGAGUCGCUGCACCCACCAUCUUUGGAACAACUUUCAUGUGUGUGCCGCAGAAAGACGGAGGGAAUGCAGGAAAGGAGACCGGGGAUUCUGUGAUCUCUUUCCGGCUCUCAACGAGUUGUGUGGUCUGGUUUGUGGGCGGGAUGGGGGAUUCACUCUCUCUCAGUUACCUUAGUGCAAAUCAAAUGGUUAUUCGAACCUUCCUCCCAACUCCACGCCCUCAACUGCUCCAGCUGGUGAUUGAUGUGUAUAAAAUGCUUUGAGGUGCUGAGAUGAAGAGCCCCUGAGAAUAUGGCCAACAUAGCAUCACAGUGACCUCACCUGAACUUAUUUGAAGUGGUGUCUUAGGAACAUUUCCUCACCUGGAGAGUUGUUUAUUCGAGCAUCUUACGUACCUACCUGUUGGCAUGUGAUUUCUUUAGAAGAGGGCAUCUGGUGGUCCCGGCUUUUAGGGUGCUCAGCUCUUCAUAAAAAUGGGAGACCACAGAGGAGGAAGUGAGCCGCUACCCUGAUUGGGUAUAUUUAAGGAUAUCAGAAGAGAACCUUACACUAAAAGAAAUGAUUUGCUCUGGAGAAGACUUUUGAAGAGGUCAGGUGUGUCUUGUCGUGUCCAGCGCCCUUGUUAGGUGCCAAGAGUCCUGCAUCCUCUGACCAGCAUGGUCUCCCAACACAAACCCAAGCCUGGGCCUGCUGUCUGUGGACUCUCAGGCCGCCCCUUCGAUGGCCCCAUUUGUAAUGGGCAUUGUGCGGGUGAGUGAGGCCUCCUUUUCCUUGCAGUGGCUUAUUGACUGGGUCACGGACCACCUGAUCCCCAAGAGACUGCAUAUACUCUGGGGGGUGAAAAGCUUCUCUAUGUUCCAUAUGAAGAAACUCCACCAUACUAGGGUCCAUGGUUCCAUGGCGUGGUCCGUGGCGAGAAGAAAAGGAUAAGAAGGUCUCCAGCAGGAGGCUGAGGAAGGCAGAGCUGUGCCUGAGGAGUCGGCCUAAUCCUGAGAAAGGGAAGGUUCCUGGUACCAGUGUCCAAAGAGGUGGGGUCUUGACGUGUUAUAUGCAGAUCAUGGUGUAUCAGAGUAUCAGUCAGGAUUCUUUAAGUUGCAAGUGCCAGAAACCCUGCCAAAUUAGCAUAAGUGAAGGAGAAAAUUCACCAGCUCGUAUAACUGAGGAGAACAAGAAAAUUCAGAAUCACACAUUACUUCAUCAGCAUUUGUGAAUGGAUUCGUUGCAUGUUCUCCCUGCCCUCUUCUUUUUCUCUCUUGCUCUCUUUCUCUUUCCCCCUUUCUCCCUCUCUCUCUCCUUCUCUCACUUUUAUUUGCCUGUAAGCACUUUCCAUGUAGUGUCCAAGAUGGCCAACUGCUGCAGCCCCAGGCUCAUGCUAUCAGCCUACCAACCCCAUGGUAGGCUAGUCUGUCCUCCGGCUGUUCCAGCCAAAGUCCUGGGUCAUGUGACCAUGGCCUAAGAAUACGGGAAGGGUCCUCUCGCAAAGUAAAAUCAGGGUGAAUGCUUCAGAUAGAAGCCACAGUAUGAAGUGAAGGCUCACUGUGUGCCAGACGCUGUUCUAGGCACUUGAUACAAAUAAACACACUGUUCUUUUUUACAGGAGCUGGGCUUCAAACCCAGGCAGACUUCAGAGUCUAUACUCUUAACCACCAUGCCACACAACCUCUGACAAAUAUAGGGUAACAGCCAUAUGAGCAGGAAAAAGGUCCACUAUAAGUCAAUGAAAAUCAGAGUUCUAGGUAAAAAUAUGAGGUGGGACUAGAACAUAUCCAAAUUUAUACAAUUAAAUAAGGGAAAGCGAGGGCAUCCACCUUUAUAUUGUAGUAAUUCUGUUUUUGCAAAGCAAGGCAUUUCUAGAAUUAUUUCUUGGGAAUUAGCAUGCAGGCCAGUUUAUAAAACACAAUAGAUACCUGUCUCAAUAUUCUAUAGUGUUGCCUUGUUUGUUAACCCAAAAUGAUAUUGAUCACUCCCUCGAGUGACAAGAUUUGGCUUUGAAUGACUUGAAGCUGUUGCCAGUCUAAUCCAGCAGACGUGUCACCGUCUGUGGGAAUAUUCAAGAGAACUGAAGGCAGUUCCCAAAGAGGACUGACUGAUACUUGGAGCCAUGACAGUAAAGACAAGGACCCGCACGCCCAGGCUUCCCUGGUGACCUCACUGAGAGGGCUGGCUCUCUUUCCCAGGAAUGAUUUCCGAUACAUUUAUUCAGACCUCAGUCAUGUUCCAGUGGUGUAAAGUGAUUUAUUUGGUCAUGGCAGGACGUGGAGAGUGUGGGAGUCUGAAACACCUUCGUGUCUGGCACCAGCACUGGCCAGGAGAGUGGUAAUCCGUCCAGCAUGCUCUGCCCACCCCCCGCCGAGGCGCACUGACCAUGAGCUUCAACUCCUCCCUCAGCCACAGGAAGGAGCUGAGUAACCUCACCGAGGAGGACGGUGGCCGAGGGGGCGUCGUCGUCACCGAGUUCAUCGCCAUUGUCGUCAUCACCAUUUUCGUCUGCCUGGGCAACCUGGUCAUCGUGGUCACCUUGUACAGGAAGUCCUACCUCCUCACCCUCAGCAACAAGUUCGUCUUCAGCCUGACGCUGUCCAACUUCCUGCUGUCCGUGCUGGUGCUGCCUUUCGUGGCGACCAGCUCCGUUCGGAGGGAAUGGAUCUUCGGCGUGGUCUGGUGCAACUUCUCGGCCCUCCUCUACCUGCUUAUCAGCUCGGCCAGCAUGCUCACCCUCGGGGUCAUCGCCGUCGACCGCUACUAUGCGGUCCUGUACCCCAUGGUGUACCCCAUGAAGAUCACAGGUAAUCGAGCCGUGGUGGCGCUCGCCUACAUCUGGCUUCACUCCCUCAUCGGCUGCCUGCCACCUCUGUUCGGUUGGUCAUCGGUGGAGUUUGACGAGUUCAAGUGGAUGUGUGUGGCUGCGUGGCACCGGGAGCCUGGCUACACCGCCUUCUGGCAGAUCUGGUGUGCCCUGUUCCCCUUCCUGGUCAUGCUGGUGUGCUAUGGCUUCAUCUUCCGCGUGGCCAGGGUCAAGGCACGCAAGGUACACUGUGGCACCGUGGUCCUUGUGGAGGAGGACACGCACAGGAACGGGAGGAAGAACUCCAGCACCUCCACCUCUUCCUCGGGCAGUAGGAAGAACGCCUUUCAGGGCGUGGUCUAUUCGGCCAACCAGUGCAAAGCGCUCAUCACCAUCCUGGUGGUCAUUGGGGCCUUCAUGGUCACUUGGGGCCCCUACAUGGUCGUCAUCACCUCUGAGGCCCUCUGGGGGAAGAACUAUGUCUCCCCAACCCUGGAGACCUGGGCCACUUGGCUGUCCUUUACCAGUGCCGUCUGCCACCCGCUGAUCUAUGGACUCUGGAACAAGACGGUUCGCAAGGAACUACUGGGCAUGUGCUUUGGGGAUCGGUAUUACCGGGAACCGUUUGUGCAGCGGCAGAGGACUUCCAGGCUCUUCAGCAUUUCCAACAGGAUCACAGACCUGGGCCUGUCCCCACACCUCACGGCACUCAUGGCAGGCGGGCAGCCCCUGGGUAACAGCAGCAGCACGGGGGACACCGGCUUCAGCUGCUCUCAGGACUCAGGAACGGAUGUCAUGCUGCUCGAAGACUUCACGUCUGAUGACAACCCUCCCUCCCACACUUGCCCACCCAAGAGGAGGAGCUCAGUGACGUUCGAAGAUGAAGUGGAACAAAUCAAAGAGGCCGCCAAGAACCCUGUUCUUCACGUGAGAGCCGAAGUGCACAAGUCCUUGGACAGUUACGCAGCCAGCUUGGCCAAAGCCAUAGAGGCUGAAGCCAAAGUCAACUUAUUUGGGGAGGAGGCGCUGCCUGGGGUCUUGCUUGCCACGCGGACCGUCCCCGGGGUUGGCUUUGGGAGCCGCCGAGGCAGCAGGACUCUCGCGAGUCAGAGGCUGCAGCUGCAGAGCAUCGAGGAGGGGAACGUUCUAGCCGCGGAGCAGACGUGAGGGUGGAUGCCCUCAACACACCCUGGUGUGCAGCCAUCAGAAAAAACACUGAACACAAUGUCUUUUCCUCAUCUAUAAAAUGAACUUUGUAUUCUGUUUCUAUGUGGGGACACAGACUCCAGGGGGCCCUCUGAUUAUGUGGAUUAGAGCAUCCAGCACAGUGCCUGGGGCAUAGCGGAUGCUGAACCCCUGCUGUUUCUUCUCCACUCUGCAGACUUGUCUCUGUCUCCAGCCUCCCUUCCCGUGGGCUAAAGAGAGGAAGGAGACUGAGCAGGAAGGGGCCAACUGUUGCACAGUCCAUACCACAGUCGCCUGGGUACAUCCAUCCAUGUGUUUUUCAUGAAUUCCCGCAAGAAAAUUAGCUUCGUGGAAUAUCGUUAAGUGGCGUGGAAGUGACCAAGAAAGAGACAACAAACAAACACUGUUAACUCAGAGUUCUAAAGGAGGUUUAAUGAAUAGCAGUGCGGUCUCUCGAUAUGUCCAUCCCAUAACCGAAGUCAAAGGGCGGGUGGUAGAUUAUCAGAGACUUGGAACAGCCUCAAGGCACAGAGCCCACCACCUCUGUCUGACCCAACAUCUGCCACCACUAAAGCCGCAUUCCUUUUCUAAGUGGGUAAGUGAGCCCUGGGGUCCGCUGUCUCCCCUGCAACAAACACUGGACCAUGGAAGCGGCCAGGACUCGUGAACUCUGCCUCUGUAGAAUGUCUUCUCUCCUAGCUGCCUCCUUGACUGCUUGUCUGGCCUGCCCUGCUCCUUCAUAACAUAUAACACCAAAACUACAAAAUCGCUAAAGGCAGGGCGCCUGAUUCCUUGGACAAAUACCACUUUGUAAUGUUUGGGUUUU